rnacentral:lncRNA from 1 species
CUUCCACAAUUAGGGUUUUUUUUUAAUUUUAUUUCGAUACAAAUAUGGAAAGCUUACCUGAAUUAUGAACUAUUUUGAAUUGACAGUGCAACCAUCCCCAAUUUUGAUUUUACUAUUCAAUAUUCAAUUUGUUUAAUUUGAGUUAGUAACGAUAUUUUAGUAUACUUCACGCAGUUUUCGUAACUAUAAAUUCAUUAAAUUAGGCAAGUAAUUUAUAUUUUGAAGUCAAAAUGAUGUUGAUUGACUCGAAUCAAAAAAAUUAAAAUAUUAAAUAGUAAAUUAAAAUUUUAAAAAAUUUAGUAGUCAAUUCAAAAUGAUCCAUUGAUUAGAUAAGUUCUACAUAUUGUUACUCCUUUUUUUUUUUCAAAUCUCAUUCUUUAGAUUGCCUACCGUUUCUACCAUUCACAUCGAUGGUCUUAGAAUUCAGGAGCCUUCAUCCUGCAGCUUCUCUAGCCAUGUCCUAUUACUAUAUAUAUAUAUAGAGAGAGAGAGAGAGAGAGAGCAUGAAUUAUAUACUUUUAUGAGUGCGAAGUUCUUCAUACUUAUAAGUUAUUUUUAUUGAUAGAGCUUCAAAAUUGACGAUUCAUACUAUUAAACAUGAUAUAGAGUAUUUGAAACUUUUAAAAAAUAAAUUUUCUAAUUUUUAAAAAUUAUAAUAAAGUAGGCAAAAAAUAAUCAAUUAAAAUCGAAUAACCUCCUGAAAAUAGAAAAAUUGGAUUCUUUAAUUUAAUUUCGGAGCUAUUGAUCUCUAUCUAGAUAGUGAACGAAAUUUUCUAUCAAAAAUACAAUCGAUUCUAAUUCUUUUGUACCAUUAAACUCACAAGCAUUCCAUAUGGACCGUUAAAAAUUAUCAAUUUUGAAAUUUUUUAAUCAUAAGGUAAAUGAUAUCAAAAAAAUAUAAAAUUUAAUUUCUAAAAAAGUCAAAUACUCCUAAUCAUAUUUAACAUUAUUGAACGUCAAUACGAAAUUUCUAUCAUCGAAAAUAUCUUUUAAGUAUGAAAUUGAUAAUACUCAUAAAAGUACAAGAACAGAACUAUAUAUAUAUAUAUAUAUAUAUAUAAUUAGGCUGGAACACUAUUAAUAGUAAAACACUCUUUUUGCUAUCAAGUUUUUAACCCUUGGAUGAAAAAUUGUAGGGUCAGGAUGAUAUUAGUCAGUUAGAGUUGAGUGGUCCCCCUAGGGUUGAGUGGUCCCCACUGGGUUAUAGUAUUUAAUACAAUGGUUAGAAAUAAUUAAAAGAGUUGAUCCAAAGGUUAAAAAACUGGUAGCAACAAUGGGAUUUUGCUACUAAUAGUAACCCAGUUCAACUCUAUAUAUAUAUAUAUAUAUAUAUAUAUAU